GCCCUUCCCAUAAUGCAACGCCCCACGCCCCUGCGGCCUCGGCCGCGCUCUGGCGCACACCAAAUGCAGCCCCCCGCUUCGACUGCGCACCACUCCUGUCCCCCGCCCAAGCCCAGUUAGCCGCUCGGCCGCCCCACCUCCAGCCCCGAGGGUUCCCAUCCUCCAGCUGCUCCGGCAGCUGAGUUCGGAGCUCGUUGCCCGGCCCCGGAGGGCGUCAGGCAGGUGCCCGGGUGGCGCGCGGCCUCAGCUCUCGGUGCCGGCCUCCGCGCGCGGGCGCACGCGCUUCCGCACCCCCUCCCUCACCCCUUCCCCAACGCUCAGCCUCCGCCAGUCGCAGUCGCUGCCUCCUCAGAGAGCCGGGAGAGGGAGGCAACAAGGCGCGGUCGCCGGCAGACACCAUGUGAUGGGCACGGCUCGUAGACACGCAGCUUUGGUUAAACUGCGGGCGCGCAGGCGGACAGGAGACGGCGCGCAGGACGGGAGGAAUGGCCUGACUUUCCCGGCGACGCCGUCACAGCCGUGGGUGUGGAGGGGCGACGCGCCCCCCAGUAGGGGCGCGACCUUCCGAGCCCCUCGGCGCCCGAGCGUGCCGAUAUAUUUGUUGAGUGCGUGCUGUGUACCAGGCGGCAUAUCUAUGUGCAUAGAAAAACUCUGGAAGGCUGAACUGCAAUACGUACACUGUGAUCAUCUUUGCUUGCUGAGAUAACAGGUUACUUUUUUCUCUUUGUUUUACUCCAUUUGCAAAACUGUAUUUUCUAUAGAAACCUGUAUUAUUUAUUUAUACAGAACUAAUAUAUUUUUAUAAAAACUGUUCUUCAGGAUACUUACAGUAUAAUACUCCAUGAAAGAAAAGUAGGUUAAAAACAAUGAAAUUCUCAAAGUUAAAUUAGGAAAAGAGAGGGCUGGACAGAGAUAGAUAAAAUGAAAAGAAAAGAAAAAGACAAAAGGGAAGAAAAAGAGGAGUGAGGAAAUUCGUUAAUAUCUAACAGUGGCCCAUUUGUGGGUGGUGGCAUUUCUUUUACAAUGUUUGUUUUAAAGAUUUUACA
rnacentral:lncRNA from 1 species